GACAGAGGGUGCAAACGUUGUUCGGAAUUACUGGGCGUAAAGCGUCUGUAGGUGGCUUUUAAGUCCGCCGUCAAAUCCCAGGGCUCAACCCUGGACAGGCGGUGGAAACUACCAAGCUGGAGUACGGUAGGGGCAGAGGGAAUUUCCGGUGGAGCGGUGAAAUGCGUAGAGGAUCGGAAAGAACACCAACGGCGGAAAGCACUCUGCUGGGCCGACACUGACACUGAGAGACGAAAGCUAGGGGAGCGAAUGGG
rnacentral:rRNA from 1 species